GAAAACUUACCAGGUCAAGACAUGGGCGUGAUUGACAGGCUAAUGACUUUUCUCGAUUCCAUGGAUGGUGGUGCAUGGUCGCACUUAGUUGGUGCAGUGAUUUGUCAGGUUUAUUCCGGUAACGAACGAGACCUCGGCCUUGUAAAUAGCUAUGCUGCUUACAGGGACAUUGGCGGCUACGCCAAGGAAGCUCGAGGCAAUUGCAGAUCUGGAAUGCCCUUAGAUGUCCUGGGUCGCACGCGUGCUACAAUGACGCCACGAACGAGCUUGCGUGAUGAAAGUUACGCAUAAUCAGCAGUCGGCGUCUUAAGGGAUAGUCUCUUGUAACUGUGGGACUCCAACUAGGAAUGUCUCGUAAGCACAAGUCAACAUCUUGUGUUGAUUACGUCCCUGCUCUUUGUACACACCGCCCGUCGCUCCUACCGAUCGAGUGUUUAGGUGAAUUUGAUGGACGUAAGGAAGUCAAAUAAACCUGAGCACUAGAGAAGAGAGUCGAUAUC
rnacentral:rRNA from 1 species